UAAAACAAAUCUAGGACUGAUUUAUUCACAAUAUCAAGUCAUUAUUAUAAACAGGUGUGAUAAAUUUAUUAAGUUACAUCAGAUUAUGGUUAAGGCAAUCAGUUGUACAAUGCAGGCCAAAUCAGGUUAUGUACUGCACCCAACAUUCAAAGGAAUAAAUCCAGUACGAUUAUGCAACCCAUGCUUCCAAUAACAAGAUUUCUAGCCUAUAGGACAUUCCUCAUCUCAUUGCACAUGCAAUCAAGAGAGAUAAGGUUGGCAAAAAGCAUACUAAAGAAUAUAAACCUAUGGACUGAUUAACUUAAUGUUUUGUUACUUCCAUGGGUGGAAGACAUAUUAAUGUAUAUACCAUAUCCACCUCCUUUAGUAAAUACUAUACCAAACUGUAAUUAACCUGUUAAUGCCUGUGACGAAGUGCCCUUCGCCACUUGUGCCUGGAGAGGACUGCUUGCCCGCCUCUUGCCCUGUGACUAUGGCCCCUGGGAUGUAUAGCCCUUUAAAGACAUGAUUUGGGCAUAAUGGAUUUGUGUUGUGCUGCUGCUGGCCCUUUAAGAACCAUCUGGGGACAUACUGUGGAGUUACUGGGUGGCCACCAUUUCCUGUAUCAGAAGCACAUGGUGAGAACAAUG